rnacentral:lncRNA from 1 species
UUUUGGUUCCACAGUUUCACAACUGAUGGAUUUUAUUGUUUUUUAAAUAUAGCAAUGAUAAUGUAAAAGCUUCUAACAAUAACAAUCAAGUUCUGUUCUUACCUUACCCCAAAAGUCUUCUAACUUCUAAUACAUCGUUCAGCUCCUGAUCUGUCUUGCCCAGAAUCUCCGCUCCGCUUUCCCUAUCUUUUACAUGGGGUUUUAUGCCCCUUAACUGCCCAAGCCAAUGCCUCCUUUGACUACAGACACACAAUAAAUCCUCCCCCUUACACAUGACAUUUAAGCAAACACAUUGUUACAUAACACAUCGUCUCCUUUACAUGUGAUGUUUAGACAGAGUCAGGUAACACAUUGUCUCCUUUACAUAGAGUCAGGUAACACAUUGUCUCCUUUACAUGUGAUGUUCAGACAGAGUCAGGUAACACAUUGUCUCCUUUACAUGUGAUGUUCAGACAGAGUCAGGUAACACAUUGUCUCCUUUACAUGUGAUGUUCAGACAGAGUCAGGUAACACAUUGUCUCCUUUACAUGUGAUGUUCAGACAGAGUCAGGUAACACAUUGUCUCCUUUACAUGUGAUGUUCAGACAGAGUCAGGUAACACAUUGUCUCCUUUACAUGUGAUGUUCAGACAGAGUCAGGUAACACAUUGUCUCCUUUACAUGUGAUGUUUAGACAGAGUCAGGUAACACAUCGGUUCUAUUUUUGUUUAUUUUUUAUUAUAUAUGUAAUAUAUAAAUACAGUUGAAGUCGGAAGUUUACAUACACAUAAGUUGGAGUCAUUAAAACUCGUUUUUCAACCACUCAACAAAUUUCGUGUUAACAAACUAUAAUUUUUUGGCAAGUCGAUUAGGACAUCUACUUUGUGCAUGACACAAGUCAUUUUUCCAACAAUUGUUUACAGACAGAUUAUUUCACUGUAUCACAAUUCCAGUGGGUCAGAAGUUUACAUACACUAAGUUGACUGUGCCUUUAAACAGCUUGGAAAUUCCAGAAAAUGAUGUCAUGGCUUUUGAAGCUUCUGAUAACAUAAUUGACGUAAUUUGAGUCAAUUGGAGGUGUACCUGUGGAUGUAUUUCAAGGCCUACCUUCAAAUGCAGUGCCUCUUUGCUUGACAUCACGGGAAAAUCGAAAGAAA